rnacentral:rRNA from 1 species
GAGUUUGAUCCUGGCUCAGAACGAACGCUGGCGGCGUGGAUAAGACAUGCAAGUCGAACGCGAUUUUCUCGGUUAGCAAUAACUGAGGAGAUUGAGUGGCGAAUGGGUGCGUAACACGUGGGAAUUUAUCCGGAAGUGGGGGAUAGCUCGUCGAAAGGCGAAUUAAUACCGCAUAUGCCUGUAAGGGCAAAGUGGGGGACCGUAAGGCCUCACGCUAUCGGAGGAGCCCGCGCCCUAUCAGCUAGUUGGUGAGGUAAUGGCUCACCAAGGCUUAGACGGGUAGCUGGUCUGAGAGGACGACCAGCCACACUGGAACUGAGACACGGUCCUGACACCUACGGGUGGCAGCAGUCUAGGAUUUUUCUCAAUGGGGGCAACCCUGAAGGAGCGACGCCGCGUGGAGGAUGAAGGGCUUCUGCUCGUAAACUCCUGUCACCGACGAACAAGACAUCCCGGAUUAAUAACUCGGAUGUUUGAUGGUAGUCGGAGAGGAAGGGGCGGCUAACUCUGUGCCAGCAGCCGCGGUGAUACAGAGGCCCCAAGCGUUGUUCGGAUUUACUGGGCGUAAAGGGUGUGUAGGGGGUUAGGUUAGUCUGACGUGGAAUACCGUUGCUCAACAACGGAACUGCGUCGGAUACUGCCUAGCUAGAGGUUCGGAGAUGAGGGCGGAAUUCUCGGUGUAGCGGUGAAAUGCGUAGAUAUCGAGAGGAACGCCGAUGGCGAAAGCAGCCCUCAAGACGAAAUCUGACCCUGAAACACGAAGGCCAGGGGAGCAAACGGGAUUAGAUACCCCGGUAGUCCUGGCAGUAAACGGUGCUCAUUAGAUGUAGGCGGAUUCGACCCCGCCUGUGUCGAACCUAACGGAUUAAAUGAGCCGCCUGGGAAGUACGGUCGCAAGAUUAAAACUCAGAGAAAUUGACGGGGGCCCGCACAAGCGGUGGAGUAUGUGGCUUAAUUCGAUGCAACGCGAAGAACCUUACCUGGCCUUGACAUGCUUAGUUCAGGCGUAGAAACACGCCGGCCCGCAAGGGCGAUUUGCACAGGUGCUGCUUGGCUGUCGUCAGCUUGUGUCGUGAGAUGUUGGGUUAAGUCCCGCAACGAGCGCAACCC